rnacentral:tRNA from 1 species
GGUCCCGUAGCGUAGCGGUUAUCACGUCGCCCUGUCACGGCGAAGAUCGCGGGUUCGAUUCCCGUCGGGACCG